rnacentral:rRNA from 1 species
CACGUAGGGUGCGAGCGUUGUCCGGAAUUAUUGGGCGUAAAGAGCUCGUAGGCGGUGUGUCGCGUCGGCCGUGAAAACCUGCAGCUUAACUGUGGGCUUGCGGUCGAUACGGGCAUCACUGGAGUUCGGCAGGGGAGACUGGAAUUCCUGGUGUAGCGGUGAAAUGCGCAGAUAUCAGGAGGAACACCGGUGGCGAAGGCGGGAUCCUGGGCCAGUACUGACGCUGAGACGCGAAAGCGUGGGGAGCGAACAGG